GUGGGGAAUAUUGGACAAUGGGGGGAACCCUGAUCCAGCCAUGCCGCGUGUGUGAAGUAGGCCUUUUGGUUGUAAAGCACUUUAAGCGAGGAGGAGGCUACCGAGAUUAAUACUCUUGGAUAGUGGACGUUACUCGCAGAAUAAGCACCGGCUAACUCUGUGCCAGCAGCCGCGGUAAUACAGAGGGUGCAAGCGUUAAUCGGAUUUACUGGGCGUAAAGCGCGCGUAGGUGGCCAAUUAAGUCAAAUGUGAAAUCCCCGAGCUUAACUUGGGAAUUGCAUUCGAUACUGGUUGGCUAGAGUAUGGGAGAGGAUGGUAGAAUUCCAGGUGUAGCGGUGAAAUGCGUAGAGAUCUGGAGGAAUACCGAUGGCGAAGGCAGCCAUCCGGCCUAAUACUGACACUGAGGUGCGAAAGCAUGGGGAGCAAACAGGAUUAGAUACCCCGGUAGUCC
rnacentral:rRNA from 1 species